GAGAAGGGAAUUCUGAGUGCAUGCAUUUUAUGCAUGCUUUUAUCCAGCCCAAAAAGCUGGGUGAAUAAGUGGUGGGUAAGACGGGUGGCAGCCGCCGCGGUAAUACCCGCGCCACAAAUGGUAAUCACGCUUAUUGGGUCUAAAGGGUCCGUAGCCGGUCUAAAAAGUUCCUGGUGAAAUCCGCUAGCAAACUAGCGGGCUUGCUGGGAAUACUUUUGGACUUGGGAUCGGGAUAGGGUAGGGGUAUUCUUUGGGUAGGGGUUAAAUCCUUUAAUCCAUGGAAGACCUCCGGUGGCGAAGGCGUCUACCUGGAACGAGUCCGACGGUGAGGGACGAAAGCGUGGGGAGCAAACGGGAUUAGAUACAAAUGUUCUAAUCCGAUGAUACCAAAGAUGAUUGGAUAUUUGCUAGAAACCCCGAUAGUCCACGCUGUAAACGAUGCCCGUUUGAUGUUGCAAACUUCACGAGAGUUUGCAGUGUCGUAGCGUAGGUGUUAAACGGGCCACCUGGGGAGUACGGCCGCAAGGUUGAAACUUAAGGGAAUUGGCGGGAGAGCACACAAGGGGUGGAUGCUGCGGUUUAAUUGGAUUCAACGCCGGG
rnacentral:rRNA from 1 species